ACGAACGCUGGCGGCGUGCUUAACACAUGCAAGUCGAACGGAAAGGCCCUGCUUUUGUGGGGUGCUCGAGUGGCGAACGGGUGAGUAACACGUGAGUAACCUGCCCUUGACUUUGGGAUAACUUCAGGAAACUGGGGCUAAUACCGGCUAGGAGCUCCUGCUGCAUGGUGGGGGUUGGAAAGUUUCGGCGGUUGGGGAUGGACUGGCGGCUUAUCAGCUUGUUGGUGGGGUAGGGGCUUACCAAGGCUUUGACGGGUAGCCGGCCUGAGAGGGUGACCGGCCACAUUGGGACUGAGAUACGGCCCAGACUCCUACGGGAGGCAGCAGUGGGGAAUAUUGCACAAUGGGCGGAAGCCUGAUGCAGCAACGCCGCGUGCGGGAUGACGGCCUUCGGGUUGUAAACCGCUUUCGCCUGUGACGAAGCGUGAGUGACGGUAAUGGGUAAAGAAGCACCGGCUAACUACGUG
rnacentral:rRNA from 1 species